AGGGCUCGCAGGCGGUUUUUUAAGUUCUGAAUGUGAAAGCCCCCGGCUCAACCGGGGAGGGUCAUUGGAAACUGGGAAACUUGAGUGCAGAAGAGGAGAGUGGAAUUCCACGUGUAGCGGUGAAAUGCGUAGAGAUGUGGAGGAACACCAGUGGCGAAGGCGACUCUCUGGUCUGUAACUGACGCUGAGGAGCGAAAGCGUGGGGAGCGAACAGGAUUAGAUACCCUGGUAGUCCACGCCGUAAACGAUGAGUGCUAAGUGUUAGGGGGUUUCCGCCCCUUAGUGCUGCAGCUAACGCAUUAAGCACUCCGCCUGGGGAGUACGGUCGCAAGACUGAAACUCAAAGGAAUUGACGGGGGCCCGCACAAGCGGUGGAGCAUGUGGUUUAAUUCGAAGCAACGCGAAGAACCUUACCAGGUCUUGACAUCCUCUGACAACCCUAGAGAUAGGGCUUUCCCUUCGGGGACAGAGUGACAGGUGGUGCAUGGUUGUCGUCAGCUCGUGUCGUGAGAUGUUGGGUUAAGUCCCGCAACGAGCGCAACCCUUGAUCUUAGUUGCCAGCAUUUAGUUGGGCACUCUAAGGUGACUGCCGGUGACAAACCGGAGGAAGGUGGGGAUGACGUCAAAUCAUCAUGCCCCUUAUGACCUGGGCUACACACGUGCUACAAUGGACAGA
rnacentral:rRNA from 1 species